rnacentral:rRNA from 1 species
UACAGAGGGUGCAAGCGUUAAUCGGAAUUACUGGGCGUAAAGCGUGCGUAGACGGUUAUGUAAGUCAGGUGUGAAAGCCCCGGGCUCAACCUGGGAAUUGCAUUUGAGACUGCAUAGCUAGGGUGCGGAAGAGGGAAGCGGAAGUUUCCGGUGUAGCGGUGAAAGUGCGUAGAUAUACGGAAGGAACACCAGUGGCGAAAGCGGCUCCUGGUCCAGCACCGACGUCAGGCACGAAAGCGUGGGGAGCAAACAGG